UACAGAGGUCUCAAGCGUUGUUCGGAUUCAUUGGGCGUAAAGGGUGCGUAGGCGGCGCGGUAAGUCGGGUGUGAAAUCUUGGAGCUUAACUCCGAAACUGCAUUCGAUACUGCCGUGCUUGAGGACUGGAGAGGAGACUGGAAUUUACGGUGUAGCGGUGAAAUGCGUAGAUAUCGUAAGGAAGACCAGUGGCGAAGGCGGGUCUCUGGACAGUUCCUGACGGCUGGAGGCACGAAGGCCAGGGGAGCAAACGGG
rnacentral:rRNA from 1 species